rnacentral:rRNA from 1 species
CGUACACUCCUACGGGAGGCAGCAGUGGGGAAUAUUGGACAAUGGGCGCAAGCCUGAUCCAGCCAUGCCGCGUGAGUGAUGAAGGCCCUAGGGUUGUAAAGCUCUUUCACCGGAGAAGAUAAUGACGGUAUCCGGAGAAGAAGCCCCGGCUAACUUCGUGCAAGCAGCCGCGGUAAUACGAAGGGGGCUAGCGUUGUUCGGAAUUACUGGGCGUAAAGCGCACGUAGGCGGAUCGAUCAGUCAGGGGUGAAAUCCCAGGGCUCAACCCUGGAACUGCCUUUGAUACUGUCGAUCUGGAGUAUGGAAGAGGUGAGUGGAAUUCCGAGUGUAGAGGUGAAAUUCGUAGAUAUUCGGAGGAACACCAGUGGCGAAGGCGGCUCACUGGACCAUUACUGACGCUGAGGUGCGAAAGCGUGGGGAGCAAACAGGAUUAGAAACCCGGGUAGUCCCA